AUACUUACCUGGCAGGAGAGCUACCAUGAUCACGAAGGUGGUUUUCCCAGGGCGAGGCUCACCCAUUGCACUCCGGAUGUGCUGAUCCCUGCGAUUUCCCCAAAUGUGGGAAACUCGACUGCAUGGUUUGUGGUAGUCGGGGACUGCAUUCAUAUUCUCCCCUG
rnacentral:snRNA from 1 species